rnacentral:tRNA from 2 species
CUUUUAUCAGGCAUCUUAU